UACGUAGGGUCCGAGCGUUGUCCGGAAUUAUUGGGCGUAAAGAGCUCGUAGGCGGUUUGUCGCGUCUGCUGUGAAAUCCCGAGGCUCAACCUCGGGCCUGCAGUGGGUACGGGCAGACUGGAGUGCGGUAGGGGAGAAUGGAAUUCCUGGUGUAGCGGUGAAAUGCGCAGAUAUCAGGAGGAACACCGGUGGCAAAGGCGGGUCUCUGGGCCGAUACUGACGCUGAGGAGCGAAAGCGUGGGGAGCGAACAGG
rnacentral:rRNA from 1 species